rnacentral:rRNA from 1 species
AGUGAACGCUGGCGGUAGGCCUAACACAUGCAAGUCGAACGGCAGCACAGUAAGAGCUUGCUCUUACGGGUGGCGAGUGGCGGACGGGUGAGGAAUACAUCGGAAUCUACUUUUUCGUGGGGGAUAACGUAGGGAAACUUACGCUAAUACCGCAUACGACCUACGGGUGAAAGCAGGGGAUCUUCGGACCUUGCGCGAUUGAAUGAGCCGAUGUCGGAUUAGCUAGUUGGCGGGGUAAAGGCCCACCAAGGCGACGAUCCGUAGCUGGUCUGAGAGGAUGAUCAGCGACACUGGAACUGAGACACGGUCCAGACUCCUACGGGAGGCAGCAGUGGGGAAUAUUGGACAAUGGGCGCAAGCCUGAUCCAGCCAUUCCGCGUGGGUGAAGAAGGCCUUCGGGUUGUAAAGCCCUUUUGUUGGGAAAGAAAAGCAGCAGGUUAAUACCCCGCUGUUCUGACGGUACCCAAAGAAUAAGCACCGGCUAACUUCGUG